GACGAACGCUGGCGGCGUGCUUAACACAUGCAAGUCGAACGGAAAGGCCCUGCUUUUGUGGGGUGCUCGAGUGGCGAACGGGUGAGUAACACGUGAGUAACCUGCCCUUGACUUUGGGAUAACUUCAGGAAACUGGGGCUAAUACCGGAUAGGAGCUCCUGCUGCAUGGUGGGGGUUGGAAAGUUUCGGCGGUUGGGGAUGGACUCGCGGCUUAUCAGCUUGUUGGUGGGGUAGUGGCUUACCAAGGCUUUGACGGGUAGCCGGCCUGAGAGGGUGACCGGCGACAUUGGGACUGAGAGACGGACCAGACGCCUACGGGAGGCAGUAGUGGGGAAUAUUGCACAAUGGGCGGAAGCCUGAUGCAGCAACGCCGCGUGCGGGAUGACGGCCUUCGGGUUGUAAACCGCUUUCGCCUGUGACGAAGCGGGAGUGACGGUAAUGGGUAAAGAAGCACCGGCUAACUACGUG
rnacentral:rRNA from 1 species